AGGACGAACGCUGGCGGCGUGCUUAACACAUGCAAGUCGAGCGGAAAGGCCCUUCGGGGUACUCGAGCGGCGAACGGGUGAGUAACACGUGAGUAAUCUGCCCCUAGCUCUGGGAUAGCUCCGGGAAACCGGGAUUAAUACCAGAUACGACCACUUUAGACAUCUGUUGUGGUGGAAAGAAUUUUGGCUAGGGAUGAGCUCGCGGCCUAUCAGCUUGUUGGUGAGGUAACGGCUCACCAAGGCGACGACGGGUAGCCGGCCUGAGAGGGCGACCGGCCACACUGGGACUGAGACACGGCCCAGACUCCUACGGGAGGCAGCAGUGGGGAAUAUUGCGCAAUGGGCGAAAGCCUGACGCAGCGACGCCGGCGUGGGGGAUGAAGGCCUUCGGGUUGUAACCCCUUUCAGCAGGGACGAAGCGAAAGUGACGGUACCUGCAGAAGAAGCGCCGGCUAACUACGUGCCAGCAGCCGC
rnacentral:rRNA from 1 species